GUGCCAGCCGCCGCGGUAAUACGGAGGGUGCAAGCAUUAAUCGGAUUUAUUGGGCGUAAAGGGCGCGUAGGCUGGCAUGUAAGUCAGAUGUGAAAUUCCGGAGCUCAACUCCGGAACAGCAUUUGAAACUGUGUGUCUAGAGGGUAGGCGGAGAAAAUAGAAUUCCACAAGUAGCGGUGAAAUGCGUAGAUAUGUGGAAGAAUACCAGUGGCGAAGGCGAUUUUCUAGCUUAUACCUGACGCUGAGGCGCGAAAGCAAGGGGAUCAAACAGGAUUAGAUACCCUGGUAGUCCUUGCCGUAAACUAUGUAUACUUGGUGUAAUCGGACUCAACCCUGAUUGUGCCGUAGCUAACGCGAUAAGUAUACCGCCUGGGGAGUACAGUCGCAAGGCUGAA
rnacentral:rRNA from 1 species